rnacentral:lncRNA from 1 species
GUGGGCCAACUCCCAGCUCCACCCCAGGCCCAGCGCAGGGCCUCGGACCAGUCACUCCCCUCCUGGCACCCCAGUGCCCUCGUCUGUCCAGUUGUGAGGGUCAAACGGGUCAAGGUCAUGCACUCAGGGACCAAAACCCUUGGGGUGUCCAGAGAAAAUGAGAUGACAGUGGGCCAGGUGGCUCUGGGGAGACACCCUGCAAGAGGGCACAGAGCCCACAGAGGCCUGGUCACCGGGUGUUGAAAGAACGAACAAAGGAACCAGAAGGACAGGCCCGGACUGGCCCCUGGGAAGCGGCGGGGCUGAGCUCCUGCGGCUCCGGGCGCGCCCGCAGGUCCCCAGUCCCGCCCCAGGCGGUGUGCAGCGGCU